CCCAUUAGACCAUAACCUCCAGGAGGAAACCUGCCCUAAAAUAUCAUUUAAUCUAGAGGCACAUAAUCUAGUCUCUCACUCCUUGGAAAGGCUAACUAAAUAUUUGUGGAAGGGAAUUGAAUGCAAAUUAGAAAAAGUCAGUUCCGUAAGACAUGAAAGGAAUCAAAACGCUACUAGUGUUCCGGAGAGAAGCAGAUACCUAGCUCAAGGUGGACUGAAAGGGAGCUAUGCAAAGAAAGAAGAUUCCCUGAUGUGGCUGAAGUGGUUUUAAAGGCAGGGUAGAGGUUCAACAAGAAGAAAUCCAGGGAUGUCACUGCAGGCUGAGGGACAGUAUGCUUAAAGGCUCAGCUGUGGCAAAGCAAAGAUGCUUUUGAAGGAGUAGCUAGUAUUCUUGUUUAUUUUGUGCUCAGAGUGUGUGAGGGGACAGCUGAGAGCCAGGAAGGCAGUGGGUGGUGGAGGGAAGGUAAUUCCCAGACUGGAAAGUGUCGAUUUAAUUCCGUGGACGAUGGGGAGCUGGGCAGGAUGCUGGUCUGGGUGCUGGGAAUCCCAAACUACCAAGCGGAUGGAGGUUCUGUUUGUGAUGAGAAGCAGUAGGAAGAGAGCAAUGCAGGAAAGUGGCAACAGGAUCCUGAGGCCAAUGACAGAGGAGAGACAGAGCAGUAAUGCAGGGGGCAGCUCUCGCUCAUCUGGAUUUCUAGAUUUUAAGGAAGCAUCAGCGUGGAGGGAGAGUAAGGGAGUGACAGUGCGGGGAUGCCAUUCACGGGGAAAGGAACUUCAGAGGAAGCUCUGGUGAUGAUAGAGGGAACAUGAGAAAUUAGACUGGAGACAUUUUGCGUCACUUGGCCCACACCUUGGACUCCUGACAUUUCUGAAACUGACAUUUAUGAUAUCACCUCCAGAUGAGUUCAUACAAAUAGUGCUCAAAUUCAGGCUGGUGCUGAAAAUUUGAUAAAUGCACACUUUCAAAAUACACUAUAAUUUUGCAACUUUACUGGGAUAUUUAUACACUGUCCUAAUAUGUAGGGAGAUUUUUUUUUUAAAAAAAAGUGUCUUUGAAGCUCUGACUAUAGAUCCCUUCAUAGUCUGCAUUUACCUCCAACAUUAACACUCUGUACCCUGGACUCUUAAUUGCUGCAGCCCCAUGUACUUCUCACUACCUAAGAAAUGGAACAGUGUUCUCUCUGGGGGAGGUGGAAGUGGGCUUGACCUCUGCUAGAGAAAAGGCAUCUCAAAAAAGGUAAUUGGGAAGAGAUGGUAAAGAGGGAAAUCUUCUUUAUUGAAGUGCUUUCUAUAUAUAUCCAAGUAGAGAAAGAAGAGAGAAAAGUAUUUUCUUUCAAAAAGUAAGGGAACAUCUAUGGCAUUAGUAACCUUUCUUAACGUGUGGCAGUUUGUAUGCAAAUCACGUGCCACAUUCUAGGUGAUGCUUCCUGACAUUACCACUGAAGUUCUGUCUAGCUCAGUGAUGGGGUGCCAGAGAGGGAAAUGUCACCCCAGUUCUCCUUAACACCUGGAAUCUCCUACUUACACACAUAAGAACUUCUCCCAAGGAGCUCUCUGACUUCCUUUUAUGUCUUUCUCCCAUUGGGCCUUGAGUGAAGAUGGAUGGAGUGAAAAGAAUUCAAGAUGCAGGGGAUUUCAGCAGAUCUGAAAAUGAAGGACAAUGACCCUGACUUUCUUCCACCCCCACAAGCACUGAGCAGAUCGCUUCAAGAAGAAAGAGCAGCAGAUUGGCCAAUUAUUUAUAAAUUUUCCCUGAGAUCUUUAUUUCAUCCUGACAUCAAUUAGCACAUGAGUUUCAGCAAAAGAAGCCAUAGCAAUUUAAUACACACCUCCGAAGAAGAGGAAACACUAAUCGAAAUGAAGACUGUCUCCAAACCAAUUGAACAGGUCAGCCUCAUGUUCAAGUCCCGGGGGAGAAGGCUUGAUCUGCUCACACAAGGCCUGUAACUGCUCCAACAGGCCCAGCCAUGAUUUGUUCGUGAUGUUCGUGGUGACUCGCUGUGCUGGUUACAGAUGGUGAGCUGCUGAUGGAUGGCCCAAAGCCAGCACGUGGUCGGUUCUUCUGGUAUUCAACUGCCGUAUUAAUCAUGCAUGGAGAGGUCUUUCUUUCCCUCUAUGAAAAAUGAAAUGGCUAAUAUACGCUAUGGAAUGAGUGCCCUGAAACAAU